rnacentral:rRNA from 1 species
GACGAACGCUGGCGGCGUGCUUAACACAUGCAAGUCGAACGGAAAGGCACUGCUUGCAGGGUACUCGAGUGGCGAACGGGUGAGUAACACGUGGGUGCUCUGCCCUGCACUUCGGGAUAAGCCUGGGAAACUGGGUCUAAUACCGGAUAGGAGCCAUUUUUAGCGUGAUGGUUGGAAAGUUUUUUCGGUGUAGGGUGAGCUCGCGGCCUAUCAGCUUGUUGGUGGGGUAAUGGGCUACCAAGGCGGCGACGGGUAGCCGGCCUGUGAGGGUGGACGGCCACAUUGGGACUGAGAGACGGCCCAGACGCCGACGGGAGGCAGAAGGGGGGAAGAUUGCACAAGGGGUGCAAGCCGGAUGCAGCGACGCCGCGGGGUGGAUGACGGUCUUCGGGUUGUAAACUCCUUUCGCUAGGGACGAAGCUUUUUGUGACGGUACCUAGAGAAGAAGCACCGGCUAACUACGUG